AUGCACACUGAGAAGAAUAUCGCCGAGGCACUUUUUGGUACAUUGUUCGGCAUAGAUGGGAAGUCAAAGGAUAAUACUAAGGCUAGAGUCGAUCUGGAGGCGCUAUGUGAUAGGCCGUUACAAAACAUGAAAGAACCGAAAGGAAAGCAGAACUGGACGAAGCCAAAGGCAUGGUUCAAUCUUGGAAGGCCGGCUAUGAGGGAAAUUAUCUUGUGGGUGAAAAUGCAGUUGAUGUUCCCCGAUGGGUAUGCAGCGAAUCUACAGAGGGGAGCCAGUCUUGAUAAAUUGAAGAUAUUUGGUCUCAAGAGUCAUGAUUGGCACAUAUGGAUUGAGCGGGUAAUGCCGGUGAUGUUGCGUGGCUUCAUCCCUGAGGAUGAAUGGCUAGUACUGGCACAACUCAGCUAUUUCUUCCGUGUUCUUUGUGCGAAAGAACUAUCGCCUAGCGUGCUAGAAGAAAUGGAAGAGUUGGCGCCGGAGUUGAUCUGCAAGUUAGAGAAGAUCUUUCCACCGGGCUUCUUUAAUCCAAUGCAACAUUUGAUUUUGCAUCUCCCGACCGAGGCAAGAUUGGGGGGGCCCGUGCAAAAUCAUUGGUGCUACCCAACUGAGAGGAUGCAGAAGACGCUUCGACAAAAAUGUAAAAAUAAACGUAGAAUUGAAGCAUCGAUGGCUGAGGCAUUCAUCACUGAGGAGGCGGCAAACUUCGUGACAGCACACUACGAAGCCAAAAAUCGUCAUUUGCAUAAUCCGAAGCCUCGGUACAAUGCUGACGACCCUAAAAAGGGUGGAUCCAACCUCAGCCUAUUCAAAGGGAAUCUCGCACCAGCCAGUGUUUCAAAUCCAGUAUCUUUGGAUAACGAACAAUGGCGGACCAUUUCGUUGUAUAUCUUCAACAACCUGAUAGAAGUGCGGCCGUACAUCGAGUAA
rnacentral:rRNA from 1 species